GCGUUAAUAGUUCAAUGGUAGAAUUUCAGCCUUCCAAGCUGAAGGUCGGGGUUCGAUUCCCCGUUGACGCA
rfam:Phycomyces blakesleeanus NRRL 1555(-) unplaced genomic scaffold PHYBLscaffold_23, whole genome shotgun sequence.